rnacentral:rRNA from 1 species
AUUGAACGCUGGCGGCAGGCCUAACACAUGCAAGUCGAGCGGAUGAAGAGAGCUUGCUCUCUGAUUCAGCGGCGGACGGGUGAGUAAUGCCUAGGAAUCUGCCUGGUAGUGGGGGACAACGUUUCGAAAGGAACGCUAAUACCGCAUACGUCCUACGGGAGAAAGUGGGAGAUCUUCGGACCUCACGCUAUCAGAUGAGCCUAGGUACGAUUAGCUAGUUGGUGAGGUAAAGGCUCACCAAGGCGACGAUCGUUAACUGGUCUGAGAGGAUGAUCAGUCACACUGGAACUGAGACACGGUCCAGGCUCCUACGGGAGGCAGCAGUGGGGAAUAUUGGACAAUGGGCGAAAGCCUGAUCCAGCCAUGCCGCGUGUGUGAAGAAGGUCUUCGGAUUGUAAAGCACUUUAAGUUGGGAGGAAGGGCAGUAAGUUAAUACCUUGCUGUUUUGACGUUACCGACAGAAUAAGCACCGGCUAACUUCGUGCCAGCCGCCGCCGUAA